rnacentral:rRNA from 1 species
AGUGAACGCUGGCGGUAGGCCUAACACAUGCAAGUCGAACGGCAGCACAGUAAGAGCUUGCUCUUACGGGUGGCGAGUGGCGGACGGGUGAGGAAUACAUCGGAAUCUACUUUUUCGUGGGGGAUAACGUAGGGAAACUUACGCUAAUACCGCGUACGACCUACGGGUGAAAGAAGGGGAUCUUCGGACCUUGCGCGAUUGAAGGAGCCGAUGUCGGAUUAGCUAGUUGGCGGGGUAAAGGCCCACCAAGGCGACGAUCCGUAGCUGGUCUGAGAGGAUGAUCAGCCACACUGGAACUGAGACACGGUCCAGACUCCUACGGGAGGCAGCAGUGGGGAAUAUUGGACAAUGGGCGCAAGCCUGAUCCAGCCAUACCGCGUGGGUGAAGAAGGCCUUCGGGUUGUAAAGCCCUUUUGUUGGGAAAGAAAAGCAGCAGGUUAAUACCCCGCUGUUCUGACGGUACCCAAAGAAUAAGCACCGGCUAACUUCGUG